GCAGUAUAUGUCAGACUUCCAAGAAAAGCUCGCAAUGUCAUAAAUAAAGAAUGCCUGUACCAUAACCGACACAGGUGGGUAGGUAGAGUAUACUAAGGGGCGCGAGAUAACUCUCUCUAAGGAACUCGGCAAAAUAACUCCGUAACUUCGGGAGAAGGAGUGCCUUCUUUAAGAAGGUUGCAAUAACAAGAUCCAAGCAACUGUUUAUCAAAAACACAGGUCUCCGCUAAGUCGUAAGACGAUGUAUGGGGGCUGACGCCUGCCCAGUGCCAGAAGGUUAAAGAAGUUGGUUAGCUUUUGCGAAGCUGAUGACUGAAGCCCUGGUGAACGGCGGCCGUAACAAUAACGGUCCUAAGGUAGCGAAAUUCCUUGUCGGGUAAGUUCCGACCCGCACGAAAGGCGUAAUGAUUUGGAUACUGUCUCGGAGAGGGACUCGGUGAAAUAGACUUGUCUGUGAAGAUGCGGACUACCUGCACCAGGACAGAAAGACCCUAUGAAGCUUUACUGUAACUUGAAAUUGAAAUUGGACUUUAUUUGCGCAGUAUAGGUGGAAGGCGUUGAAAGUAAUCUUGCGGGAUUAGUGGAGCCAUCAGUGAGAUACCACUCCUAUAAUGUUAGAUUUCUAACUUUGGAUCAUGAUCUGGUCAAAGAACAGUUUCAGGCGGGCAGUUUGACUGGGGCGGUCGCCUCCCAAAUGGUAACGGAGGCGUACAAAGGUUUCCUCUGAACGGGUAGAAAUCGUAUCUAGAGUGUAAAGGCAUAAGGAAGCUUGACUGUGAGACCUACAAGUCGAGCAGGGACGAAAGUCGGUCUUAGUGAUCUGACGGUGCUGAGUGGAAAGGCCGUCACUCAACGGAUAAAAGUUACUCUAGGAUAACAGGCUGAUCUCCCCCAAGAGUUCACAUCGACGGGGAGGUUUGGCACCUCGAUGUCGGCUCAUCGCAUCCUGGGGCGGUAGUACGUCCCAAGGGUUGGGCUGUUCGCCCAUGAAAGCGGUACGCGAGCUGGGUUCAGAACGUCGUGAGACAGUUCGGUCCAUAUCCGGUGUAGGCGUUAGAAUAUUGAGAGGAGCCUUCUUUAGUACGAGAGGACCGAGAAGGACAUACCUCUGGUGUACCAGUUAUCGUGCCAACGGUAAACGCUGGGUAGCUAUGUAUGGAGAGGAUAACCGCUGAAAGCAUCUAAGUGGGAAGCCCACCUCAAGAUGAGUAUUCUCAC
rnacentral:rRNA from 1 species